GGGGAAUCUUAGACAAUGGGCGCAAGCCUGAUCUAGCCAUGCCGCGUGAUCGAUGAAGGCCUUAGGGUUGUAAAGAUCUUUCAGAUGGGAAGAUAAUGACUGUACCAUCAGAAGAAGCCCCGGCUAACUCCGUGCCAGCAGCCGCGGUAAUACGGAGGGGGCUAGCGUUGUUCGGAAUUACUGGGCGUAAAGCGCACGUAGGCGGACUGGAAAGUCAGAGGUGAAAUCCCAGGGCUCAACCUUGGAACUGCCUUUGAAACUCUCAGUCUUGAGGUCGGGAGAGGUGAGUGGAAUUCCGAGUGUAGAGGUGAAAUGCGUAGAUAUUCGGAGGAACACCAGUGGCGAAGGCGGCUCACUGGCUCGAUACUGACGCUGAGGUGCGAAAGCGUGGGGAGCAAAC
rnacentral:rRNA from 1 species